rnacentral:rRNA from 1 species
GUGGGGAAUAUUGGACAAUGGGCGAAAGCCUGAUCCAGCCAUGCCGCGUGUGUGAAGAAGGUCUUCGGAUUGUAAAGCACUUUAAGUUGGGAGGAAGGGCAGUAAGUUAAUACCUUGCUGUUUUGACGUUACCGACAGAAUAAGCACCGGCUGACUUCGUGCCAGCAGCCGCGGUAAUACGAAGGGUGCAAGCGUUAAUCGGAAUUACUGGGCGUAAAGCGCGCGUAGGUGGUUUUGUAAGUUGGAGGUGAAAUCCCCGGGCUCAACCUGGGAACUGCCUCCAAAACUGCAUGACUAGAGUACGGUAGAGGGUAGUGGAAUUUCCUGUGUAGCGGUGAAAUGCGUAGAUAUAGGAAGGAACACCAGUGGCGAAGGCGACUACCUGGACUGAUACUGACACUGAGGUGCGAAAGCGUGGGGAGCAAACAGGAUUAGAAACCCCUGUAGUCC